rnacentral:tRNA from 1 species
GGUUUGUGGCUCAGGGUUAGAAUGCUUGCCUAGGAUGUAUGAGGCACUGGGUUCAAUCCUCAGCACCA